GCCCGUGUAGUGCAGUGGUGAGCACGUUUCGUUGUGGCCAGGCCAGCUUUUCCAGUCUCCUGUCUAGACUGGAAGUGAUGGCUUCCAGGCAGUAACCGAAGAGACCUCAGUUCGAAUCUGAGCACGGGCA